rnacentral:rRNA from 1 species
AUAACAAUACAGGACUCUUUCCAGGCCCUGUAAUUGGAAUGAGUCCACUUUAAAUCCUUUAACGAGGAUCUAUUGGAGGGCAAGUCUGGUGCAGAGCGACUGACCCGUGCGUGCUGCAGCUGAAA